rnacentral:tRNA from 1 species
GGCUGGGUAGCUCGCUGGUGAGAGUGUUGUCCUGAUAAGCCAAGAUUGUGGGCUCGAUCCCCAGCCA